GGGCCUGGAUUGAAAAGGGAGCGGGCCCAGGCCCAGUAAAGUCGCCAUUCCCCAUUUUACAGCUGGGGAAACUGAGUUACAGAGCUUUUCUGCACUGAGUCAUCAGGAGCAAAUGCUAGAUCAGAUAGAGUCUCUCUCUCUGCCACCCAGGCCAGAGUGCAGUUGACGCAGGGCAGGGGAGCCCCGAAGUGGAGCAUAGUGUGUCCGGAACUGGUGGGUUCUUGGUCUCCCUGACUUCAAGAAUGAAGCCACGGACCCUCGGGCCCUGUUUUAGGUAGUCCUUAAUUUGGUCUGGUG
rnacentral:lncRNA from 1 species